rnacentral:rRNA from 1 species
CAGUCGAGCGGACCGACGGGAGCUUGCUCCCUUAGGUCAGCGGCGGACGGGUGAGUAACACGUGGGUAACCUGCCUGUAAGACUGGGAUAACUCCGGGAAACCGGGGCUAAUACCGGAUGCUUGAUUGAACCGCAUGGUUCAAUCAUAAAAGGUGGCUUUUAGCUACCACUUNCAGAUGGACCCGCGGCGCAUUAGCUAGUUGGUGAGGUAACGGCUCACCAAGGCGACGAUGCGUAGCCGACCUGAAAGGGUGAUCGGCCAC